GAUGAACGCUGGCGGCGUGCCUAAUACAUGCAAGUCGAGCGAACAGACGAGGAGCUUGCUCCUCUGACGUUAGCGGCGGACGGGUGAGUAACACGUUGAUAACCUACCUAUAAGACUGGGAUAACUUCGGGAAACCGGAGCUAAUACCGGAUAAUAUAUUUAACCGCAUGGUUCAAUAUUGAAAGACGGUUUUGCUGUCACUUAUAGAUGGAUCCGCGCCGCAUUAGCUAGUUGGUAAGGUAACGGCUUACCAAGGCGACGAUGCGUAGCCGACCUGAGAGGGUGAUCGGCCACACUGGAACUGAGACACGGUCCAGACGCCUACGGGAGGGAGCAGUAGGGAAUCUGCCGCAAUGGGCGAAAGCAUGACGGAGCAACGCCGCGUGAGUGAUGAAGGUCUUCGGAUAGUAAAAAUCUGUUAUUAGGGAAGAACAAAUGUGUAAGUAACUAUGCACGUCUUGACGGUACCUAAUCAGAAGGCCACGGCUAACUACGUG
rnacentral:rRNA from 1 species